rnacentral:rRNA from 1 species
GCAAACCCGGGGAACUGAAACAUCUAAGUACCCGGAGGAAAGGACAUCAAUAGAGACUCCCCUAGUAGCGGCGAGCGAACGGGGACCAGCCGAGCGAUGAGAGUGACCAGAAGGAUCUGGAAAGGUCCGCCAGAGUGGGUGACAGCCCCGUAUGGGAAGCUCAAUUGGACGUAUUAAGUAGGGCGGGACACGUGAAAUCCUGUCUGAAGAUCGGAGGACCACCUUCGAAGACUAAGUACUCCUUACUGACCGAUAGCGAACCAGUACCGUGAGGGAAAGGUGAAAAGCACCCCGACGAGGGGAGUGAAACAGAUCCUGAAACCGGACGCCUACAAACAGUUGGAGCCUCCUUGAGAGGUGACAGCGUACCUUUUGUAUAAUGGGUCAACGACUUGGUCUAACUAGCAAGCUUAAGCCGAUAGGUGUAGGCGCAGCGAAAGCGAGUCUUAAUAGGGCGCAUGAGUUAGUUGGAUCAGACCCGAAACCGAGUGAUCUAGGCAUGAGCAGGAUGAAGGUGCGGUAACACGCACUGGAGGUCCGAACCCACAUCUGUUGAAAAAGAUCGGGAUGACUUGUGCCUAGGGGUGAAAGGCCAAUCAAACUCGGAGAUAGCUGGUUCUCCGCGAAAUCUAUUUAGGUAGAGCGUCAGACGAAUACCACCGGGGGUAGAGCACUGGAUGGGUAAUGGGGACCUACAGUCUUACUGAUCCUAACCAAACUCCGAAUACCGGUGAGUACUAUCUGGCAGACACACGGCGGAUGCUAACGUCCGUCGUGAAGAGGGAAACAACCCUGACCUCCAGCUAAGGCCCCUAAUUCAUGGCUAAGUGGGAAAGCAUGUGAGACGACCAAAACAACCAGGAUGUUGGCUUAGAAGCAGCCAUCAUUUAAAGAAAGCGUAAUAGCUCACUGGUCUAGACAAGUUGUCUUGCGGCGAAGAUGUAACGGGGCUCAAGCCAUGAGCCGAAGCUGAGGAUAUGCACGCAUGUGCAUGUGGUAGCGGAGCGUUCUGUAUGCGGUGAAGGGUGAGGGUGACCGAGCCUGGAGCGUACAGAAGUGAGAAUGUUGACAUGAGUAGCGAUAAACAGGGUGAGAGACCCUGUCGCCGAAAGUCCAAGGGUUCCUGCUUAAAGCUAAUCUGAGCAGGGUAAGCCGACCCCUAAGGCGAGGCCGAAAGGCGUAGUCGAUGGGAACCAGGUUAAUAUUCCUGGGCCAGGAGAUGGUGACGGAUCGAAAGCGUAGUUAUCCCUUAACGGAUUGGGGUGGCUGCCGGACGGUUCCUGGAAAUAGCCCUCCGUAAGAUCGUACCCUAAACCGACACAGGUGGACUGGUAGAGCAUACCAAGGCGCUUGAGAGAACUGCGUUGAAGGAACUCGGCAAAAUGCCUCCGUAACUUCGGGAGAAGGAGGCCCCGUCUUUGGGCAACCAGAGGCGGGGGGCACAGACUAGGGGGUAGCGACUGUUUACUAAAAACACAGGGCUCUGCGAAGUGGCAACACGACGUAUAGGGUCCGACGCCUGCCCGGUGCUGGAAGGUUAAAAGGAGAGGUGCAAGCUUUGAAUUGAAGCCCCAGUAAACGGCGGCCGUAACUAUAACGGUCCUAAGGUAGCGAAAUUCCUUGUCGGGUAAGUUCCGACCUGCACGAAUGGCGUAACGACUUCCCCGCUGUCUCCAACAUCAACUCAGCGAAAUCGAAUUGCCGGUCAAGAUGCCGGCUUCCCGCGGUUAGACGGAAAGACCCCAUGAACCUUCACUGUAGGCUGAUAUUGGGUUGAGGUAUGUCUUGUGUAGUAUAGCUGGGAGGCUGUGAAACGGGCGCGCUAGCGUUCGUGGAGCCAUCGUUGAAAUACCAGCCUGGUCAUGCUUUAAUUCUAACCCUGUACCUUAUAACAGGUCAGGGAACAGUGUCAGUUGGGCAGUUUGACUGGGGCGGUCUCCUCCUAAAGAGUAACGGAGGAGUGCAAAGGUUGGCUCAGCACGGUUGGCAAUCGUGCGUCGAGUGCAAAGGCACAAGCCAGCUUAACUGCGAGACAUACAAGUCGAGCAGAUACGAAAGUAGGCCUUAGUGAUCCGGUAAUCCCGUGUGGAAGGGUUAUCGCUCAUCGGACAAAAGGUACUCCGGGGAUAACAGGCUAAUGACUCCCGAGCGUUCAUAGCGGCGGAGUCGUUUGGCACCUCGAUGUCGGCCCAUCACAUCCUGGGGCUGAAGGCGGUCCCAAGGGUUCGGCUGUUCGCCGAUUAAAGUGGUACGCGAGCUGGGUUCAGACCGGCGUGAGCCAGGUCGGUCCCUAUCUGCCGUGGGCGUAUGAAACUUGAGAGGAUAUUUCCUUAGUACGAGAGGAUUAGGAAGUACGUGCCUCUGGUGUACCAGUUGUCCCGCUCGGGGCACCGCUGGGUAGCUAUGCACGGAAAGGAUAACCGCUGAAUGCAUCUAAGCGGGAAGCCCCCCUCAAGAUUAGGUUUCGAUCUUGU